UACGGGGGGGGCAAGCGUUGCUCGGAAUCACUGGGCGUAAAGGGUGCGUAGGCGGGUCUUUAAGUCAGGGGUGAAAUCCUGGAGCUCAACUCCAGAACUGCCUUUGAUACUGGAGAGCUUGAGUCCGGGAGAGGUGAGUGGAACUCCGAGUGUAGAGGUGAAAUUCGUAGAUAUUCGGAAGAACACCAGUGGCGAAGGCGGCUCACUGGCCCGGUACUGACGCUGAUGUGCGAAAGCGUGGGGAGCAAACAGG
rnacentral:rRNA from 1 species